rnacentral:lncRNA from 1 species
UGGCAUGGGCGGCGGCGGCAGCUAUUCGAAGUUGUAGUGCUUGUCGACGGCCUCGGCGACGUCCCAGGUGCAGCUCAUGCCCUUGGGGAAGACGACCAGGUCCCCCGCGGCGAUCUCCACGAACUCCUCCCCGUGGCCCUCCGGGUACACCUUCACCUUCCCCUGCAGAAGGUAGCACGUCUCCUUGGCCGAGUAGGUCCACGGGAACUUGCUCUUCUCGCACCCCCACCUGGUCCAUUCGUCCAUUCACCAGCAGACCGCCGUCAGAAAGGGCCGCAGGCACAGUGGAGUAAGCAGCAAGGGGCGCCGGCACAGUGGAGCGGGGGGAGAUGAGAGAUUGAGAUGCCCGGGGAGGGCGGGUUCGGG